CCUACGGGCGGCAGCAGUGGGGAAUAUUGCACAAUGGGGGAAACCCUGAUGCAGCGACGCCGCGUGAGUGAAGAAGUAAUUCGUUACGUAAAGCUCUAUCAGCAGGGAAGAAAGAAAUGACGGUACCUGACUAAGAAGCCCCGGCUAACUACGUGCCAGCAGCCGCGGUAAUACGUAGGGGGCAAGCAUUAUCCGGAUUUACUGGGUGUAAAGGGAGCGUAGACGGCGAGGCAAGUCUGAAGUGAAAGGCGGGGGCCCAACCCCCGGACUGCUUUGGAAACUGUAGGGCUGGAGUGCAGGAGAGGUAAGUGGAAUUCCUAGUGUAGCGGUGAAAUGCGUAGAUAUUAGGAGGAACACCAGUGGCGAAGGCGGCUUACUGGACUGUAACUGACGUUGAGGCUCGAAAGCGUGGGGAGCAAACAGGAUUAGAUACCCGAGUAGUC
rnacentral:rRNA from 1 species